rnacentral:rRNA from 1 species
AGCUCUAACAGCGUAUAUUAAAUUUGUUGCGGUUGAAAAGCUCGUAGUUGAAUCUAGGGAGAGUGAAUUUGCUGGUCCGCCCACUGGGUGUUGUUACUGGCGUUGCUCUCCCCUUUUCUCUUGCCAGUUUCUGUUUGGCUCGGCUCUUCACUGAGCCGUUCUCAAGCUCUGGCUCUUUUACUUUGAGUAAAUUAGAGUGUUCAAAGCAGGCGCAAAUCGAUCGGCCACUGAAUACUUCAGCAUGGGAUAAUAGAAUAGGACUUUGGUUCUAUUUUGUUGGCUUCUAGGACCGAAGUAAUGAUUAAUAGGGACAGUUGGGGGCAUUUGUAUUUGCCAGUCAGAGGUGAAAUUCUUGGAUUUGGUAAAGACAAACUAGUGCGAAAGCAUUUGCCAAGGAUGU